rnacentral:rRNA from 1 species
GGAUUCCCCUAGUAACUGCGAGUGAAGCGGGAAAAGCUCAAAUUUAAAAUCUGGUAGUCUUUGGCUGCCCGAGUUGUAAUCUAGAGAAGCAUUAUCCGCGCUGGACCGUGUACAAGUGUCCUGGAAUGGACCAUCAUAGAGGGUGAGAAUCCCGUCUUUGACACGGACUCCCAGGGCUUUGUGAUGUGCUCUCAAAGAGUCGAGUUGUUUGGGAAUGCAGCUCUAAAUGGGUGGUAAAUUCCAUCUAAAGCUAAAUAUUGGCGAGAGACCGAUAGCGAACAAGUACCGUGAGGGAAAGAUGAAAAGAACUUUGGAAAGAGAGUUAAACAGUACGUGAAAUUGCUGAAAGGGAAACGCUUGAAGUCAGUCGCGUUGGCUGGGGAUCAACCUUGGCUUGGCUUACUUCCCAGUUGACGGGUCAGCAUCAGUUUUGACCGGUGGAUAAAGGCUAGGGGAAUGUGGCACCCUCGGGUGUGUUAUAGCCCUUGGUCA